ACAGUCACACAUUAGAUACCCCCUGUAGCCCUAGCCGUAAACGAUACUCGCUAGGUGUCGGCCACGGUGCGACCGUUGUCGGUGCCGUAGGGAAGCCGUGAAGCGAGCCACCUGGGAAGUACGGCCGCAAGGCUGAAACUUAAAGGAAUUGGCGGGGGAGCACCACAACGGGUGGAGCUUGCGGUUUAAUUGGAUUCAACGCCGGAAAUCUUACCGGGACCGACAGCGAUAUGAAGGCCAGGCUGAAGACUUUGCCGGAUUAGCUG
rnacentral:rRNA from 1 species